rnacentral:rRNA from 1 species
UACGGAGGAUGCGAGCGUUAUCCGGAUUUAUUGGGUUUAAAAGGUGCGUAGGCGGACUGUCAAGUCAGCGGUAAAAUUGAGAGGCUCAACCUCUUCCCGCCGUUGAAACUGGUGGUCUUGAGUGGAUGAGAAGUACGCGGAAUGCGUGGUGUAGCGGUGAAAUGCAUAGAUAUCACGCAGAACUCCGAUUGCGAAGGCAGCGUACCGGCAUCCAACUGACGCUGAGGCACGAAAGCGUGGGGAUCAAACAGG